UACGUAGGGACCGAGCGUUGUCCGGAUUCAUUGGGCGUAAAGAGCUCGUAGGCGGCUGUUCAAGUCGAACGUGAAAACUCGGAGCUCAACUCCGAGCCUGCGUUCGAUACUGGACGGCUAGAGUCUGGUAGGGGGAUCUGGAAUUCCCGGUGUAGCGGUGAAAUGCGCAGAUAUCGGGAGGAACACCAAUUGCGAAGGCAGCUCGCUGGGACGUUACUGACGCUGAGACGCGAAAGCGUGGGGAGCAAACAGG
rnacentral:rRNA from 1 species